AAAGAGAGUGUCACGAAGAAGGGAACUGCUGUCAUCAUUAGCUUGGAAUGGAAUUUGUAUUUUGACAAAAGAUGCAGACAUUUUAAGACCCGGAAUGCUCACAAAAAGGACAAGAGCUCAGAGCUGUAUGGAAAUUUACACAAAGGGUCAGUUAACAGAUUUUGCAAAUAUGGAGGAUAAAUAUAUCAAAGGCAGCAUAGGCGUCCAAACUCCUGUUCAGGGUGCUUUUAAUCAGAAGCUUAAGAGUCAAAAGACGACCCAUUGACAAGGCAAAACUGAAUGUUUUAUAUGAAAUUGAGCAAGAAAAGUUUGAAGUGUGGGAAUGAUCAACAUCAAACUUGCUGAGCUUUUGAAGCCGUCAUACCAAAAGUGAAUCCAUUCGUGACACCAAUUAUCUGACCACCCUCUAGCAGAACAGUGAGGAAGUGAUUCUAGCCAACACUUCAGAAGUAGGAUCUUGGGGCAUGUUGGGGGAAAAAAUAGCAUGUGUUGAUUUUAUGGGAUCUUCCAAAUAUAGUUGUGUAGUAGAUAUUUGUGUACUUAAUACCUAUGUUUGUCACUCUAGUCAUUAACUUUGUAUGGUAAAUGUAUAUGGACCACU